GGUUAUGAGUUUACCCCCACCCGGGGGUGAAAGUGAUAUCCUGAAUUUAUAUGUGUUUUGUAUUUAAGAUUUCUUGAUUAGGUAUGUCCAGACGGAUAUUUUGAUGUGAACUGUUCCAAGACGUGUUACCCUGGAUUGUACGGGAAAGAAUGUAUUCAUGCUUGUCCAUCGGAAUGUAAGAACACAUGUCAUCGCGUCACGGGAGACUGUCCAGGCGCUUCUACACUGACUGAUACAGAAACUAGCAAUGGAUACCUUAAAAUAUCAACAUCGGUACCUGUCGGAAGUUCAGCAGGAUUGUUAGAUGAAACUAUCUCACAGCAACAGCAGCGGAUAACAAAUUCGGUCAAUGGUAUAUCAAAAGAGUAACCUAAAUUUUUAUUUAUUGCCAUUUUGUGUUGGAAGGAUCAUUUGAAUUAACCUUUCAACAAUAGAUAAUCAAAUUUGAUGAAAAA